rnacentral:tRNA from 1 species
GGGGUUGUGGCUCAAUGGUAGAGCGCUUGCCUAGCAUGUGCAAGGGCCUGGGUUUGAUCCUCAGCACCA